CCAGCCUUCACUCCUCACGCUACCCUCAGACUGGAUGAGGUAUGGACAGGAGGGACAGAAAGGACAGGGAAAGAUGAGGAUUUUACCAAACCACAUUAGGGGUCUACAAGCAAAAUCUCAGAGGGAAUUCACAGGACCACAUGAGCAAUUUCCCCAUUUGAUUCUCUAGGUAAGUGUGCCUGCUGCUUCUUAUAGGAUGAGGGACUGGG
rnacentral:lncRNA from 1 species